rnacentral:rRNA from 1 species
AAUAUCGCAUUUAUUUGACGAAGGCUCCAAAGGAAGCCACGGCUAACUCUGUGCCAGCAGCCGCGGUAAUACAGAGGUGGCAAGCGUUGUUCGGAAUUAUUGGGCGUAAAGAGCACGUAGGUGGGUUUGUAGGUCAGAUGUGAAAGCCUUCUGUUCAACGGAAGAAUUGCAUCUGAAACUACAAGUCUUGAGUGUAGGAGGGGAGAGUGGAAC